rnacentral:rRNA from 1 species
UAUAUGUUCAACGGCCGCGGUAUUUUAACCGUGCAAAGGUAGCGCAAUCACUUGUCUUUUAAAUGAAGACCUGUAUGAAUGGUAUUACGAGGGCUUAACUGUCUCCUUUUUCAAGUCAGUGAAAUUGAUCUCCCCGUGCAGAAGCGGGGAUAAAACCAUAAGACGAGAAGACCCUAUGGAGCUUUAAGACACUGAGCCAUAUCAAGUUAAACACCCCCAAACAAGGGACUAAACUUAUUGAAAUCAUUGGCCGUAUGUCUUCGGUUGGGGCGACCAUGGGGAAACAAAAAACCCCCACGUGGAAUGGGAGCACAACUACUCCUACAGUCAAGAGCCACCACUCUAACAAACAGAAUUUCUGACCAAUAACUGAUCCGGCAACGCCGAUCAACGGACCAAGUUACCCUAGGGAUAACAGCGCAAUCCCCUUUUAGAGCCCCUAUCGACAAGGGGGUUUACGACCUCGAUGUUGGAUCAGGACAUCCCAAUGGUGCAGCCGCUAUUGAAGGUUCGUUUGUUCAACGAUUAAAGUCCUACGUGAUCU